CCUACGGGUGGCUGCAGUGAGGAAUAUUGGUCAAUGGACGCAAGUCUGAACCAGCCAUGCCGCGUGAAGGAUGAAGGCCUUCUGGGUUGUAAACUUCUUUUAUUGGGGAAGAAACCUCCGUUUUCUAAUGGAGCCGACGGUACCCAAGGAAUAAGCACCGGCUAACUCCGUGCCAGCAGCCGCGGUAAUACGGAGGGUGCAAGCGUUAUCCGGAUUCACUGGGUUUAAAGGGUGUGUAGGCGGGUUUUUAAGUCAGUGGUGAAAUCUCCGAGCUU
rnacentral:rRNA from 1 species